CCUACGGGUGGCAGCAGUGGGGAAUAUUGGACAAUGGGGGGAACCCUGAUCCAGCCAUGCCGCGUGUGUGAAGAAGGCCCUCGGGUUGUAAAGCACUUUCAGUGAGGAAGAACGCCUGGUGGUUAAUACCCAUCAGGAAAGACAUCACUCACAGAAGAAGCACCGGCUAACUCCGUGCCAGCAGCCGCGGUAAUACGGAGGGUGCGAGCGUUAAUCGGAAUUACUGGGCGUAAAGCGCGCGUAGGUGGCUUGAUAAGCCGGUUGUGAAAGCCCCGGGCUCAACCUGGGAACGGCAUCCGGAACUGUCAAGCUAGAGUGCAGGAGAGGAAGGUAGAAUUCCCGGUGUAGCGGUGAAAUGCGGAGAGAUCGGGAGGAGUACCAGUGGCGAAGGCGGCCUUCUGGACUGACACUGACACUGAGGUGCGAAAGCGUGGGUAGCAAACAGGAUUAGAUACCCUAGUAGUC
rnacentral:rRNA from 1 species